UCCCAGUUGUUGUAACAAGUUUGGAACAAGCUGUUAACAACUUGUAACAAGCUUGAUGGCAUGAUCAGACUUGUUACAAGGUUUUUCUAACAAUUCUGAUAAAGUCAUGAUAUAACAAGAAUGUUACAAGGUUGAUGACACAAGGUUGUAACAAUAUUGUUAUAUUAUGACUGUAUCGGGCUUGUUGGAACAACCUUGCAACAGGUACGAUAAUAUCAACAAGGUUGUUACAAGUUGUUAACAGCUUGUUCCAAACUUGUUGACAACUUGGGA
rnacentral:miRNA from 1 species